rnacentral:rRNA from 1 species
GAUGAACGCUGGCGGCGUGCCUAAUACAUGCAAGUCGAGCGAACAGACGAGGAGCUUGCUCCUCUGACGUUAGCGGCGGACGGGGGAGUAACACGUGGAUAACCUACCUAUAAGACUGGGAUAACUUCGGGAAACCGGAGCUAAUACCGGGUAAUAUAUUGAACCGCAUGGUUCAAUAGUGAAAGACGGGUUUGCUGUCACUUAUAGAUGGAUCCGCGCCGCAUUAGCUAGUUGGUAAGGUAACGGCUUACCAAGGCAACGAUGCGUAGCCGACCUGAGAGGGUGAUCGGCCACACUGGAACUGAGACACGGUCCAGACUCCUACGGGAGGCAGCAGUAGGGAAUCUUCCGCAAUGGGCGAAAGCUUGACGGAGCAACGCCGCGUGAGUGAUGAAGGUCUUCGGAUCGUAAAACUCUGUUAUUAGGGAAGAACAAAUGUGUAAGUAACUAUGCACGUCUUGACGGUACCUAAUCAGAAAGCCACGGCUAACUACGUG